AGCAUAGUAUUUUAAAAAAAAAGUUAAAUUUGCAAUUUAAAAUUAGGAUGUUUUCUUUAUGUUA
rnacentral:tRNA from 1 species